GAUAUUUCAUAUUUUAUAAAAACAGUAAUCUCCAAAAAUUGAACUUCUCAGCUUCUCCCUUGCCCAAUUCUAUUUCUCUGACUUAUGCAAGACUCAUUCUAUAUUACAGGUAUUUUCCCUCAUUAAACCACCUGUGUGCACAUCUCUGUCUUGGAGAGUAUUUCCAGGGAGCCUGACCUACACAUGCGCCCAAUGACAUAGUGGCAAAAAGAAGCAUUGUCCUCUGUCUCCUCUUUUCAGAUGGUGAUGUGGUGAAACAAGCAAAUGCAUCAGAGGGCUGAAUGAAGCCAGGGGGUUAGAAAGAAUCUGAGUCUGGAGAAGGGAGCAACACCGAGAGCUCAGCUGCUCACUGGAGGACACUUCUGGCUCCUCAUCCUGCAAGCUGUGGAGGAACAGGCACUUCCUCAGAGGACCUACCUAAAGCAUGCUCCUCCUUUAUUCUCUGUCACAGCUGUCUUCAUGGCACGUCUCAUUCCAUUUGUAAUUAAAUGUUGGUUUAAUAGU